AACGAACGCUGGCGACAUGCCUAACACAUGCAAGUCGAACGAGACCUUCGGGUCUAGUGGCGCACGGGUGCGUAACGCGUGGGAACCUGCCCUUAGGUUCGGAAUAACUCCCCGAAAGGGGUGCUAAUACCGGAUAAUGUCUUCGGACCAAAGAUUUAUCGCCUUUGGAUGGGCCCGCGUUGGAUUAGCUAGUUGGUAGGGUAAAAGCCUACCAAGGCGACGAUCCAUAGCUGGUCUGAGAGGAUGAUCAGCCACACUGGGACUGAGACACGGCCCAGACUCCUACGGGAGGCAGCAGUGGGGAAUAUUGGACAAUGGGCGAAAGCCUGAUCCAGCAAUGCCGCGUGAGUGAUGAAGGCCUUAGGGUUGUAAAGCGCUUUUACCCGGGAUGAUAAUGACAGUACCGGGAGAAUAAGCUCCGGCUAACUCCGUG
rnacentral:rRNA from 1 species